GUGAGUCAUCGAAUCUUUGAACGCACAUUGCGCCCGCCAGCAUUCUGGCGGGCAUGCCUGUCCGAGCGUCAUUUCCACCCUCGAGCCCCUAGGGUUCGGUGUUGGGGCCCCUACGGCUGCCGUAGGCCCUGAAAUACAGUGGCGGGCCUUCCGGCACUCCGGGCGCAGUAGUUACAUCUCGCCUUCUGGAGGAGCCGGGUUAGGCACCUGCCUGGACGCGCCGCAGCGGCGGCGAACCAAAGGGUUGACCUCGGAUCAGGUAGGAAUACCCGCUGAACUUAAGCAUAUCAAUAAGCGGAGGA
rnacentral:misc_RNA from 1 species